GAUGAACGCUAUCUACAGGCUUAACACAUGCAAGUCGAGGGACCGGCGCACGGGUGAAUAACACGUAUCCAACCUGCCCUUUACUCGGGGAUAGCCUUUCGAAAGAAAGAUUAAUACCCGAUGUAAAAGAGGGGGAUGCGUUUCAUUAGGUUGUUGGUGCGGUUAAGGCUCACCAAGCCUUCGAUGGAUAGGGGUUCUGAUAGGAAGGACACCUAGAUUGGAAAUGAGCCCCGGUCCAAACUCCUACGGGAGGCAGCAGUGAGGGAUAUUGGUCGAUGGUCGUUAGCCUGAACAUGCCAAGUAGUGUGAAGGAUGAAGGCUUAUGGGUCGUAAACUUCUUUUAUAUAAGAAUAUGUAUUAUAUGAAUAAGGAUCGGCUAACUCCGUGCCAGCAGCCGCGGUAAUU
rnacentral:rRNA from 1 species